rnacentral:rRNA from 1 species
AUUGAACGCUGGCGGCAGGCCUAACACAUGCAAGUCGAACGAGUGGCGGACGGGUGAGUAAUGUCUGGGCAACUGCCCGAUGGCGGGGGAUAACUACUGGAAACGGUAGCCAAUACCGCAUACCAUCGGAUGUGCCCAGAUGGGAUUAGCUAGUAGGUGGGGUAACGGCUCACCUAGGCGACGAUCCCUAGCCGGUCUGAGAGGAUGACCGGCAACACUGGAACUGAGACACGGUCCAGACUCCUACGGGAGGCAGCAGUGGGGAAUAUUGGACAAUGGGCGAAAGCCUGAUGGAGCCAUGCCGCGUGUAUGAAGAAGGCCUUCGGGUUGUAAAGUACUUUCAGCGAGGAGGCGUUACUCGCAGAAAAAGCACCGGCUAACUCCGUGCCAGCAGCCGCGGUAAUUC